rnacentral:lncRNA from 1 species
UUUAAAAUUUUGUUAAAAUAAGGUUUAAUUUAAUUUUCAUUCGAAACAAAAAAAAAUGAAUUAAUUGUCUUUGGUUAUUUAGGUAAUUUCAAUAAGAAAUGGUUUUUAUGAGGAAUCUAGAGGGGUGUAGAAAGGCUUUCUCUAAAUUGAUAACCCCAAUUAAGUAUUAGUUUUUUGGGUCCCAACUUUGGGCCAAAGUAGUAAAUUAAUAAUUUCCUAAAUUUAUUAGAUAAUAAAUACUCAAAAGAAUCUUAUUUGUCUCUAAGACCCAAUUAAUACAUGAAUUAAUUAAUUUGAAACUAAAUACAUAUGAUAUGUAUAUAAUUUCUUUGAUAUCCUAGCAUAACGCUUUAUACAUUUCAUCAGUCUUUGUCAUUUUCUUUACACAUUUCAAAUGUGAAGCUAUUAUUGUAUUCUGUAUGCUAUGUUAACAAAGAUAAGAUAGAUAUUGGCUUAAUAUAUUGUUGUAUUUUGUAUGUUGUGUUAACAAAGAUAAGAUAGAUAUCGGCUUAAUUUAUUGUCUCUCCAAAACGUUCUAUCUAAUGAGUUACCAUAUAAUUGUGAUCAAGCCAAAGGAUCAUUGAAUGACUGAUUCACUCAGCAAGAUCAAAUCAAAAUUAUGUCAUACAAGUUGACAGAAUUAAUUCUUUAAUUUACAUUAGCUUUAUACUUCACAAAAAUUCAUAUUAUCAACUUGAAAUUAUCUAUAUAAAUUAAUAAAUUAUCAUUUUAUUGGUGAGUUAAUAAUUGUUAACUUAUCAAUAUAUUGUUAUUCACUAAAUUAAUAGAUUUUCCAUAUUUCCAAGCUAUUAAUUUAUCAAGGUUUUACAGUAUUUUACAAAAUUUAUAAAAUGUAAUUAUUUACCGUCCACCUAUUUUUUUACACUUUUUCAAAAAUAAAUAAUUCUUAAUUUUUUUUUGUUGAGCUCCACUUGAAGUUAUAUUUUUUUGCACCUAUCUACUACCGUCUUCAAAUCGUUAAGAAAACUAACAGAAUAUUGUCCAAAUUACAUAGGUGAAAUUACCAUUAUAUCCUUAUGACCUUAGCAAAGUCUUAAAGGUUUGAAGACGUCAAUGGAUAGGUGCAAAAACAUAUAACUUUGAGUGAAACUCAACAAAAAAAAUUAAAAAUUGUGUAUUUUUAAAAAAGUGAGAAAAAAUAGGUGGACGAUGGAUAAUUGCCCUUUAUAAAAAGGCCCAAAAUUUUUGUAAUAUUUCCAAAUAAGGUUUUUGUUAUUAUUAUUAUUACUACUACUACUAUUAUUUCUAUUAUUACUAAAGACAAUAGUUAAGUAAAGAUAUUUUUAUAACUUAUAACUGUCUAUUAUGAUUCUAAGAUGAAGUAAACACAUCAAUGGGAAUACUACAUGUUCUAGUUUCUAUUCCUAUAACUCAAGUAAACAACUUAUUUUGAUUCUUAUUCGUCAUUCAAACUUUAACCUAUUUUGACUCCAACUCAUUCCAAUUAUCAAUGAGUAAACACGCCAUAAGGACCUAGGAGUGACAAUUAUUCUACUUGACCACAUAGUUAUUGAAGAUUUUCGUACUUGUUAUGGAAUUAAGCCAUGCAAAACUAAAUUCAAAACCUCACAACAUAUAUUGUAAAAUGCGUACUUGUUAUGGAAUUAAGCCAUGCAAAACUAAAUUCAAAACCUCAUAACAUAUGUUGUAAAAUGCCACGCUGAAAUCCACUAUAUAGUAUUAUGGUGAAGUAAUUUCAAUGCAUGAUUUCAACAUAUAAAUCAAUCGUGGGAUUAGAAAAUUUUAUCAAGUAGCAAAUUAAUUAGAGGAGAAGAAAAAACUCAAGAGAUCAUUAUUUUUGGGUUUUGGGAGAGAGGAAAUUAAAUUUAGAAGAAGGGUAGUUUUAAAUUAAAAUGGUGUUGGUAAUAAUAAUUAAUUUUUUAACACUAUUUAAUGGGGUACUUAAAGCAGUAGUGGCAAUUGCUCUACUAUGUGGGUAUUGAUUUAUGCCAAUUGAUUCAAUAAUCAUGAGGUUUUUUGAACAUAAAAUUCUUGUUUGAAGUAAGAAUAAAGGUAUCUCACAGUACAAUGAUUAUGAAUAAUAUUUUUACUUACCUUAAUCAUUUUUCACUUUAUUAAUCUAUAUAUAUUGCUAGGUUUUUAUAUUACUCUAUCGUCUAAACCUAAUAUUAAGGGCUCACAAUGCAUCACACUAUAAUACAUUAUACCGGAAACGACUAUCACAUGUUAUUUGUCCUAUACAUAAGGCACAACUGUUAACAUAUAUAUUUUCAUAAUGUUGAUUUUGAUGAUAACAAACAAGAUUAAGAAUGAUUA